rnacentral:misc_RNA from 1 species
GUAACAAGGUCUCCGUAGGUGAACCUGCGGAGGGAUCAUUACAAGAACGCCCGGGCUUCGGCCUGGUUAUUCAUAACCCUUUGUUGUCCGACUCUGUUGCCUCCGGGGCGACCCUGCCUUCGGGCGGGGGCUCCGGGUGGACACUUCAAACUCUUGCGUAACUUUGCAGUCUGAGUAAACUUAAUUAAUAAAUUAAAACUUUUAACAACGGAUCUCUUGGUUCUGGCAUCGAUGAAGAACGCAGCGAAAUGCGAUAAGUAAUGUGAAUUGCAGAAUUCAGUGAAUCAUCGAAUCUUUGAACGCACAUUGCGCCCCCUGGUAUUCCGGGGGGCAUGCCUGUUCGAGCGUCAUUUCACCACUCAAGCCUCGCUUGGUAUUGGGCAACGCGGUCCGCCGCGUGCCUCAAAUCGUCCGGCUGGGUCUUCUGUCCCCUAAGCGUUGUGGAAACUAUUCGCUAAAGGGUGUUCGGGAGGCUACGCCGUAAAACAACCCCAUUUCUAAGGUUGACCUCGGAUCAGGUAGGGAUACCCGCUGAACUUAAGCAUAUCAAUAA